UACGGAGGGUGCAAGCGUUGUCCGGAUUUAUUGGGUUUAAAGGGUGCGUAGGCGGCCCUGUAAGUCAGUGGUGAAAUACUGCAGCUUAACUGUAGCAUUGCCAUUGAUACUGUAGGGCUUGAGUACAGAUGAGGUAGGCGGAAUUGAUGGUGUAGCGGUGAAAUGCGUAGAUAUCAGGAGGAACACCUGUGGCGAAAGCGGCGCACUGGACCACAACUGACGCUGAGGCGCGAAAGCUAGGGGAGCAAACAGG
rnacentral:rRNA from 1 species